rnacentral:rRNA from 1 species
UACGUAGGUGACCAGCGUUGUCCGGAUUUACUGGGCGUAAAGAGCUCGUAGGCGGUUUGGCAAGUCGGAUGUGAAAUCUCCAGGCUCAACCUGGAGGGGUCAUUCGAAACUGCUAUGACUAGAGUUCGGUAGAGGAGUGUGGAAUUCCUGGUGGAGCGGUGAAAUGCGCAGAGAUCAGGAGGAACACCCGUGGCGAAGGCGGCUCUCUGGGACGGUACUGACGCUGAGACGCGAAAGCGUGGGGAGCGAACAGG